rnacentral:rRNA from 1 species
UACGUAGGGUGCAAGCGUUGUCCGGAAUUAUUGGGCGUAAAGAGCUCGUAGGCGGUCUGUCACGUCGGCUGUGAAAACCCGAGGCUCAACCUCGGGCCUGCAGUCGAUACGGGCAAACUAGAGUACUGCAGGGGAGACUGGAAUUCCUGGUGUAGCGGUGAAAUGCGUAGAGAUCAGGAAGAACAUCGGUGGCGAAGGCGCUCUGCUGGACCAUAACUGACACUCAGGGACGAAAGCUAGGGGAGCGAAUGGG